rnacentral:rRNA from 1 species
CCUACGGGAGGCAGCAGUGAGGAAUAUUGGUCAAUGGGCGCAAGCCUGAACCAGCCAUGCCGCGUGCAGGAUGACGGUCCUAUGGAUUGUAAACUGCUUUUGUACAGGAAGAAACACUCCCUCGUGAGGGAGCUUGACGGUACUGUAAGAAUAAGGAUCGGCUAACUCCGUGCCAGCAGCCGCGGUAAUACGGAGGAUCCAAGCGUUAUCCGGAAUCAUUGGGUUUAAAGGGUCCGUAGGCGGUUUUAUAAGUCAGUGGUGAAAUCUGGUCGCUCAACGAUCAAACGGCCAUUGAUACUGUAAGACUUGAAUUACUUGGAAGUAACUAGAAUAUGUAGUGUAGCGGUGAAAUGCUUAGAGAUUACAUGGAAUACCAAUUGCGAAGGCAGGUUACUACAAGUAUAUUGACGCUGAUGGACGAAAGCGUGGGGAGCGAACAGGAUUAGAUACCCUGGUAGUCCACGCCGUAAACGAUAGGAUACUAGCUGUUUGGAGCAAUCUGAGUGGCUAAGCGAAAGUGAUAAGUAUCCCACCUGGGGAGUACGCUCGCAAGAGUGAAACUNAAAUGAAAUUGACGG